rnacentral:lncRNA from 1 species
UCCGUGCUCAGGAGCGAGCCAGCACCCUCGUUCCUCCAGCAGCCCUGCGAGUGUGGAAGAGACGACUGGACCCACGGCGAGCGCACAAGAGAAGUGAGCCGGACGGGAGAACGUGUGUAGGAGAGCGUGUCUGGGAACUGCCUGGAUCUCCAGUGCAGAGGCCACUGCUUGCUGAAAUGGAAGCCAUGGCUCUGUGCGCCUCCUCUGAAGAGACUGUGCCUCUGAGUUGUGAAAAUGAGCCCACUGCCCUAAAGAUGCUUCUGCUGCUCCGUCUGUGCGGACAAAGGUGCUUCCCGGCCACUUGACUUCGAGCUGGGCCCGCACGCUUGUGUCGAUGUGGGGAAGAUGUGCAGAGUCGGGCUUGGAAGGUCUGCAGGCCUUGGCUUGCUGUUUUUCACACUGGCCUUGGCCAGAACAUGUCAGGGCCAGCCCUCUGCCCACAGCGGGCAACAGAAGGCUGGAGCAAGCUGCCCCUGGCGUUUGCCUCCCCAACACACGCCGCCUAGUGGCCCCGCAGGCCCGUGACCCAGACCAGCACCUCCUGCAGGCCACGAAGUCUUUGUGCUUGAUGUCACCUAGUAACGAGUCCCAGCACGGACACGGCAGUGUCACCGAGGUCUCCAUGAGUUCGGCAUUGCCGGCCCUCUUGGGUCACUGCGUAUAGGCAGUGGCUUGGGCUCCUGGUCACCUGCCUCCCAAGAUGCUGGGCAUCCAGCAGAAGCAGGUGUGAUGCUCUUCCAAACCCUGCACUUGUGCCUUGCAGGUCUUCCCUCCCAGCUCCUCCGCACCUGGGUCCAUCUUUGGUUAUUUUUGCUGUUACCUUUCAUACCCAUUUCCUGAUGACAGGAACUACUAGCAAUAAAGCACUUGGCAGUAAUGCUGGUCACCAC